CUUUAGGUGUGUUUGUGUGUUUCAAUGUGUUUUAUGUUCACAGGUGUUUCUUUAUAUUUUUUUUUGGCUAUUGUGAUUUGAGGUUAAGAGGACACUAAGGAAAGAAAAGAAAGCGUGGGUACUAAACCUAAAGGUAUUUUUUUGUUGUAUUGAUUGGCGUUAAGGAGUAUCCAUAAAUUUGGUACACGAUCUUCCUGUUUUCGAUUGCACACCAAAUCCACCCGCAAUCCUUUUUUUCUCUCCAUAAAACCCCUAAACGAAUUUCCACAUCAUCAAGCUUUGGAUGUUGGACAUAUGUCUAUUUGAAUGCAAUUUGAGUUAUCAGUUUUCAAACGUUUUAUCAAACCGAUAAAGGGUCUUUUGUUUGUUCAUAAUUAAAUAUCAAUUCUUUUUGUUCAUCUUUAUGUCUGGAAUGAAGAUUUAUAGCUACAAGUUGACAUGGGAUUUAUUGGUUGCAGGAAAAGAAAGCGAUGAUGAAGAGAGGAACUUAUGGUUAUUGAAUAAAGAGAAAUGCUCCUUGGAUAUCCUUCUAUGUUUUCUUUGGCUUGAACAUUAAUAAUACUUAAAACACAGAGGCUUGAUUCUAUGGAAUGUUAAUAAUGGUGAGUUUGGGUGGAUUGGACUUUGGUUGGACUUUUUCGGUAAAAAGGGAAGCCACUAAGAUGGGUAAGAUGGUAGGACAGGAAAUGCAUUGGUGUCCUCUGUUGACAGAAUCAUCUUUGUUAGAUCGCCUGAUGUAGUAAGCAAAAAGAUAAUGGAUAAAAGAGAUGGAAUGAUGUUCAGUUUGAAGUUGAUGUACUGUGAAAUUAGAAGACUUAUGAAGGAUUUGAAGGAUGUUGAAGGGUUGAAGACUGGCUAUGGUAAGGAUUUAAUGUGGCUUGAAGGAUUUUGGAGUUGUGUUUGGAAAUAGAUAAGUUGGAUGUACACUGACACUUUGUUUGCGUUGGCUAGGUGUUUUACUAAGAUCAUUUCAUUGUUCUUGGCCGGAUAGUAAAUAUAUAUGAGGCGUUAGUUGUUCAAAUCAUUUAUUUAUUAAAUAAAUUGUACUAUGGACAAUAUGAGAUGGAUUCCACCAAAAUAGCCUGCAACACUUGGUGGAAAAAUGAUGAA